rnacentral:tRNA from 1 species
GAGACAUUAGUUUAAUUGGUAGAACGUCGUGCUACGGACACGAUAAAUUUAGUUCGAAUCUAAAAUGUCUUG